AUCAAACACAGCUGUUGAUAAACAGUGUCAAACAGGUUAUGGUCAGAGACUUUUCAUGUGAAAUGGAGACAAGCAGAUGAAAAUGUUGAGAUC